AUCUUUGGUUGUGGAAGGGAGGAUAGAUCUGUCAGAAGCAGGAUCCCUAGACCAAAGGCAGUGUUUGUGAUUGUCCCAAGUUGCACUCAGAAGUGGCCUGUUCUCCACUGAGGCAGGCCAGCCCUGGGAGCUUUAUGUAGCAGGUGUUCAUGUUGCUUUUUGGGCAUAACAGCGAAAGGGUUUCCAAAUGUAAGCCAGAGCCUGAACUUGAGCCACAUUUUAGGUAGAAUGCAGCUGACUAGUCAGUCAGUUUUAACUGCAUAGCCUCUGCAUUAAUCUGGGUUCAGUUACAGGAAACAAGCCAUUCUAGCAAUUUUAAUGAGGAAUUUAAUCUAAGGCAUUAGAUGCUUACAGAGUUGUUGGGGGGCCUAGGGGAAUGGCUCUCAGUGGGCCCCUAAGAAUGUAUCCAGAACAACGUAGCAGAACUGGCGUACCAAUGGAGCUGCAGCCUCUCCCACAAUCAGGAAAGGGUCAGGAGGCUGUCACUGGAGCUGUGAUCCAGAUACAAGGGAGUCUUUGCCACGGCUGCAACACCCACAAAGCUGAAUUGCUGCUGAAACCUAGUGUCUGCCUCACCAUAAAGGCUGUGCUAGCCAGAAGAAGCAACCAAGGAAACAAAAACAUGACCCCUGCCUCCCUCCCAGCUGCAUCCCUGCGUUUAACUGGUGGAGCUAACUCUUAGCCAGAAUUCUGGCUCCAAGGAAGCCAGAGGAUGUCGUUUUCAGAUUUCUGGCCUCAGCAGCCUGUGAAGGCAUACCAGGAGGUUGAAAUGGAUGAUGAGAGCUAGUUCACCAUACCCACCGCAUCUGCCUCUCCAGACACUCCUCCACCCUGUGUAUAUAGCACUAACAUUCAGUGCCUCACUCAAGAUGUUCCCUUUGUCUGGAAUGUUCCUUCUUGUUAUUUUUUCUGGAUGAAUUUGGAUUUCCUCUUCUAAGAGGCUUUCUCCUGCAAAAAGUCUUAUUCUAGCCAUUUCUAGCUUUUUGUGUAUUCCUUCUCUAAUGAUUUAUUUAUGUGUUUGUCUCACCCUCAACUAAGAAGUCAUAGACUAGGUCUCAUCUGUCUUUGUUUAUGUAGCUGAGCAAGGUCUGGGCCAAUGCCUUUUAGUUCCUGACAUAUUAAAAAAAAGACUGAAAUGGUAGCAGAUUUUCUAGUACAGUUUAAAAGUUUAACCUUACCAACCUAAUGCUUUUAACAUAAAAAGUGAUGAUGCAGUAUAACUGGCAUGUUUUCCAAAUAAAUAGAAAAACUUAGAAUAUAGAAAUCUAUAGAACAUGAACUAUUAAUUUAUUUUUAAAAAUAUAUUAAAAACUUGGAGAGAAGGCUAAUUUUGCCCCAAAUCAAUUCUAUACUUUUCAUAUUAUCAUGACCCUCAGUGUUUAGCUGGAGAUAUAGUCAACCAGAUCGUGUAAUACAUUUCCCAGACUCCCUUGCAGCUAUGUGUGCCAUGUAAUUCAGUCUGGCUUAUAAGAUGUGGGACCAAGUGAUAUGUGCAAUUGCAGGGAAGAGGGAUUUUUCUUAUUUACAAUAGGCAGUGGGCCAUAUUAGCUGCACCGAUCAGGGCAUACCAGGGACAACUGAGCAGCAAUAUAUUUGGAGCCUGGCUCCCUGAUACUGUAAAUAGAGGAGAAAGAAACUUCUGUCAAGUGCACGUGUGUUUGGAUUUUCUGUUAGAGUAGCUGAAAGUACAACCUGAUUGUUCUUGGUUUAGAACUGUGUAAUUAUGUAAUGAGCACCUCUGUCUUGCAGGUACAAAUGAAUUGGGAGACAGCAUUAAAGUUCUAAAUGGAGGACCUGUUUGCGAAUGUCUGGUGCAGGCAAGUGUUCUUCCUGAGUCCCUGUAAGGGGGAGUUGAGCCCAGAAGAGAUGCUGUCUAUGUAAAAGAAUUAAUGAUGUAGGAGGUCAUAUGUAUUUGUUACUCUGUCUCAGGUACCUUACUCUUUUGGUAAGGCAGACUGUUCCCAGCUUUAAAGGAGUUUGCAACAAGAAACACCUAAUUGGGUUCCCGUUGUGGCACAGUGGAAACAAAUCCGACUAGCCAGGGAUUGAACCCAAAAUCUCAUGGUUACUAGUCAGGUUUGUUAACCACUGAGCCACGACGGGAACUCCCUAUUAUUAUUAUUAUUGCAUUAAAAUUCCAUCUGCAUUUGGACAAAGCCUAGCGAGGAAAGAACAGGAGAGUUAGUUCUUUGGAGUCUCUGUUUUGAAUACCAUUGUUAACUCAAUGUUUAAUUAUUGAGUUCCACUUGGCUGGAACGCUGAAGAUAAAGAUCCCUCUGGCAGACAUUGGCUGAAGGUAGAGGCCAGGUCCAGAAGGAGGGUAGAGUGGUGGUGCCAUGUGGAACACAAAAGCCAGGGGUUAGCAUGGAAGGAGGGAUGAAUCCAGGAGAGGAUUCAGAGGCCAAAUGGGUAGAGAAUGCUGCCUAGUUUAAUGAAAGUGCAGAGAGAGAUGACCAAAAUAACUGUCCCAUGCUUGAGCUAUCUCCAAAGAACCUGGAGAAGGGAAAGUAUCACACAGUGCCUGCAUUUUUUUUUUUUUGUCUUUGUUGUUGUUGUUGUUGUUGUUGUUGCUAUUUCUUGGGCCGCUCCCAUGGCUUAUGGAGGUUCCCAGGCUAGGGGUCCAAUCGGAGCUGUAGCCACCGGCCUAUGCCAGAGCCACAGCAACGCAGGAUCCGAGCCGCUUCUGCAACCUACACCACAGCUCACGGCAACGCCGGAUCGUUAACCCACUGAGCAAGGGCAGGGAUCGAACCCACAACCUCAUGGUUCCUAGUCGGAUUCGUUAACCACUGCGCCACGACGGGAACUCCUGCAUUUUUUUUUUUUCUCCACUCUCCAGAAGUAAAGCAUCCCUAAAAAACCUUUCAGAAGCCCAGAGGGCAGACCUAACGUGAUGAAGCAGUGACCUAAGGACACCUCUUGCUCAUGGAUGCACAAAAUGAAUGAGGAUAAGAUGCUCACAGAUGUAGUUCAAAGCUCUGGCCGCUUGACAUUGUGAUGCUGAGUGUAGUUCCUGGGGAGGGGACUUGGUGGGGCUGUUCUUGCUGCUCACGGUGUACACUACCCCUGUAACACUUGCUGCAAAAACAAAUUCUCAACCCUGUAUUCGUUUUUUGCCUUUUUUUGUAAAAGUGAAGAUCCUCUUUAGAUUUCCUUUGGUGGGUAGAGUUCCUGUUGUGAUGCAGUGGAAACAAACCCGACUAGCAUCCAUGAGGACUCAGGUUUGAUCCCUGGCCUCAUUCAGUGGGCUGACAAUCUGGCUCGAAUCUGCGUUGCUGUGGCUAUGGCUGUGGCUGGCAGCUGUAGCUCUGAUUGGACCCCUAGCCUGGGAACUUUCAUAUGCUACGGGUGCAGCCCAAAAAAUAGCAAAAAAAAAAAAAAAA
rnacentral:lncRNA from 1 species